rnacentral:rRNA from 1 species
UGGGGAAUAUUGGACAAUGGGGGCAACCCUGAUCCAGCAAUGCCGCGUGUGUGAAGAAGGUCUUCGGAUUGUAAAGCACUUUCGACGGGGACGAUGAUGACGGUACCCGUAGAAGAAGCCCCGGCUAACUUCGUGCCAGCAGCCGCGGUAAUACGAAGGGGGCUAGCGUUGCUCGGAAUGACUGGGCGUAAAGGGCGUGUAGGCGGUUUACACAGUCAGAUGUGAAAUCCCCGGGCUUAACCUGGGAGCUGCAUUUGAUACGUGUAGACUAGAGUGUGAGAGAGGGUUGUGGAAUUCCCAGUGUGGAGGUGAAAUUCGUAGAUAUUGGGAAGAACACCGGUGGCGAAGGCGGCAACCUGGCUCAUGACUGACGCUGAGGCGCGAAAGCGUGGGGAGCAAACAGGAUUAGAUACCCUGGUAGUCCACGCUGUAAACGAUGUGUGCUAGAUGUUGGGUAACUUUGUUAUUCAGUGU